rnacentral:rRNA from 1 species
AUGCACUAUGAGGAUCGCGUCCGGUUAGUGGUCAAGUAUCACGCGGACUAUCUCAACCAUAGGAUUUCCAAACAGGAGGCUCGAGGGACGCAUCUUUCACGGGACAAUUACUUCAAGUCGUGCUGGGAGAAGAUCGUCGAACGGUGGACAGAUCCAGGGUGGCAGGAUGAACACAAAGUAAUAUCUGAACGGCAUAAGUUGAUGGGGGGUCGAGGACACCGUCAAGGCAACCUCACCAUCCCAGAAAGAAGGCACUGGCAAGGAUAUCACUUACUUCGAGGCAUGGACCAUCAAACGUACCAAAUACGACAAGGAAAAGGACCCUCUCCACCCGGAGAGGGACUGGAUCAACUCUAA